rnacentral:rRNA from 1 species
GAUGAACGCUGGCGGCGUGCCUAAUACAUGCAAGUCGAGCGAACAGACGAGGAGCUUGCUCCUUUGACGUUAGCGGCGGACGGGUGAGUAACACGUAGGUAACCUACCUAUAAGACUGGGAUAACUUCAGGAAACCGGAGCUAAUACCGGAUAAUAUUUCGAACCGCAUGGUUCGAUAGUGAAAGAUGGCUUUGCUAUCACUUAUAGAUGGACCUGCGCCGUAUUAGCUAGUUGGUAAGGUAACGGCUUACCAAGGCAACGAUACGUAGCCGACCUGAGAGGGUGAUCGGCCACACUGGAACUGAGACACGGUCCAGACUCCUACGGGAGGCAGCAGUAGGGAAUCUUCCGCAAUGGGCGAAAGCCUGACGGAGCAACGCCGCGUGAGUGAUGAAGGUCUUCGGAUCGUAAAACUCUGUUAUUAGGGAAGAACAAACGUGUAAGUAACUGUGCACGUCUUGACGGUACCUAAUCAGAAAGCCACGGCUAACUACGUG